GGAGAGAUGUCCGAGUGGCUUAAGGAGCACGUCUGGAAAGCGUGUGUGGGGUGAUACUCACCGGGGGUUCAAAUCCCCCUCUCUCCGCCA
rnacentral:tRNA from 1 species